GUCCACGCCGUAAACGAUUGGUGCUAGGUGUGGGGGGUGUCGACUCCCUCCGUGCCGAAGCUAACGCAUUAAGCACCCCGCCUGGGGAGUACGGCCGCAAGGCUAAAACUCAAAGGAAUUGACGGGGGCCCGCACAAGCAGCGGAGCAUGUGGUUUAAUUCGACGCAACGCGAAGAACCUUACCAGGGCUUGACAUGCACUGGAAUGUCGUAGAAAUAUGGCAGCCCUUCGGGGCCAGUGCACAGGUGGUGCAUGGCUGUCGU
rnacentral:rRNA from 1 species